GCAAUAGCCGAAUGGUUAGCGUUGCGAACUACCAAUCGGAAGACCCGGGUUCAAAUCCUGGUGCAACCA
rnacentral:tRNA from 1 species